rnacentral:rRNA from 1 species
GACGAACCGUGCGAACGUUAUUCGGAAUCACUGGGCUUAAAGCGCGUGUAGGCGGGCGCCACGUCGGCUGCUGAAAUCCCCCGGCUCAACCGGGGAACGGGCACCGAUACGAGCGGCCUCGAGGGGGUAGGGGGGUCUGGAACUUCCGGUGGAGCGGUGAAAUGACGUUGAGAUCGGAAGGAACGCCCGUGGCGAAAGCGAGGCCCUGGA